AUACGUAGGUGACAAGCGUUAUCCGGAUUUACUGGGCGUAAAGGGCGUGUAGGCGGUCUUGCAAGUCAGAAGUGAAAUUCCUGAGCUCAACUCGGGCGCUGCUUCUGAAACUGCAGGACUUGAGUGCUGGAGGGGAUAGCGGAAUUCCUAGUGGAGCGGUAAAAUGCGCAGAUAUUAGGAAGAACACCGGUGGCGAAGGCGGCUUUCUGGACAGUAACUGACGCUGAGGCGCGAAAGCGUGGGGAGCAAACAGGAUUAGAUCCCCUGGUAGUCCACGCCGUAAACGAUGAAUACUAGGUGUAGGGGGUAUCGACUCCCUCUGUGCCGCAGUUAACACAAUAAGUAUUCCGCCUGGGGAGUACGGCCGCAAGGUUGAAACUCAAAUGAAUUGACGGGG
rnacentral:rRNA from 1 species